rnacentral:lncRNA from 1 species
UGCCUCAUCUAAAGACCUAGUGUGGCAAAAAUAUAAAUUAUCUCAUCAAUAAUGUUGAAGUACGAUUCCAGGUUGAUAUGGUAAUAAUUUAGAUGCACCCGGGUUAAACAAAACAUAUUAUUAUAAUUAAUGUUACUUGUUUCUUUCUCCUUUCAAAUGUGACUACUAGAAAAUGGAAAUUACAUAUGUGGCUCACAUUGUGUUUCCUUUGGACAGUGCUGGUUCAGACCCCUGCGUCUGCCUACAGCACCCCCUGUGACCGCCUGUAACCACUUAGAUACUUUGGAAUAUGCACUGACAGCCCAUAUUAGCUCUGAGCUGGAGUUCACAGCCUGGAAACAAAGCAGUGAAAUGUUCUUCGGCAGGACCUGUGCAAGCUGCUAAGGCGAGGACACCAGGUCUCAGCUGGCAAGGGAGCCUCACCCCAGGAAGCAGCUGUUGGCAAGGCGCGCUCUCCUGCUUGGAUUUACUUUUGGAAGAAAUUUCUCUCCUCCCCUGCCCUGACAUGCCUUCAGCUUCCAGACAGUGGGCGUUGAAAGAAGGCUUUUCUUUAGCGUUCAGUGACUCCAUUUAUACUUCCAAGGCGUUGUCGAGUUUUCCCGAAAGCCUCUGUUUAGGAAUUUCAGGAGUUUCUUCUUAAAUUUUAUUUUAAGUCACCACUCCAAGCCAGCCCAUAAAAAGAAGCAGCAGGCGAGGAAGUGAAGAAAUGAAGCCCAACCAAAUCUUCAAUGUGAAAGAUUAAGCCCAGUUUUCCUUGCUGGAACGACAAGACAAACAUGAUCAAAAAUGGUGCUUGUUACUUCAUGUGAGGAGCCCCAAAGGAAAUUUCAGGGAAUCAGAGGCCUCUGGGAAAGGCAUGAUUCAUAGUGAAAGGAUAUGUCAUUUUCUUACUUAAAGGCAAUUAAAUGUCAUGACAUAAUCUCCAAGUUGUAUCUUAGUCUGACAUUUUUCAAGAUCCAGCAGAUAUUAACAGGCCACUCUUAGGGGCCUCAGCGAUGCAUAAGAUGUUUUCAACCUUUGUUCUGGGCUUUAUUCAUGCUUGAUCCGGGUCUGCUCCCAGUGUGUCUGUCUCUCUUCUUUUAUAAAAUCUGAAGAGAGGGUUGGAAUAAACAGUAGGAAUCAACUGGACCCA